UACGUAGGGGGCAAGCGUUGUCCGGAUUUAUUGGGCGUAAAGAGCGUGUAGGCGGCCAGGUAGGUCAGCUGUGAAAACUCGAGGCUCAACCUCGAGACGCCGGUUGAAACCAUCUGGCUAGAGUCCGGAAGAGGAGAGUGGAAUUCCUGGUGUAGCGGUGAAAUGCGCAGAUAUCAGGAAGAACACCCGUGGCUAAGGCGGCUCCCUAGUACGGUACUGACGCUGAGGAGCGAAAGCGUGGGGAGCGAACAGG
rnacentral:rRNA from 1 species